rfam:Asian citrus Psyllid, Diaphorina citri - Florida Strain, whole genome shotgun sequence.
GUCUGCGGUGAUAGCACGUUAAAUGUACCGGGUCCUAAUGAUCCACUGAAGUUAAGCAACGCUGCACGUGGAUGGUGUCCGGAUGUGAGACGAUGACCAUCUGGGCAAUCGUGUGCUGCUGGCU